rnacentral:rRNA from 1 species
UACGGAGGGAGCUAGCGUUGUUCGGAAUUACUGGGCGUAAAGCGCGCGUAGGCGGCUUUGUAAGUUAGAGGUGAAAGCCCGGGGCUCAACCCCGGAACUGCCUUUAAAACUGCAUCGCUUGAAUCCAGGAGAGGUGAGUGGAAUUCCGAGUGUAGAGGUGAAAUUCGUAGAUAUUCGGAAGAACACCGGUGGCGAAGGCGGCUCACUGGCUCGUAACUGACGCUCAUGCACGACAGCGUGGGGAUCAAACAGG